rnacentral:lncRNA from 1 species
CGACACAGGGGCAGUAGGGUACUAGGGUGCGCGUCGGCGCGAGCGGGACCAAGACGGAAGGAAGCCACGCGAAGCUCGCUGCUUUCUUUCUUGCUUGCCUCCUCCGUCCUCCCGCCCCCAAAAUAAAAAUCUGAAAACAGCAAGGCACCAAACGCCCGGGAGCACCCAACACACCACCACACACCAUUUCUUCCCCCUCCCCGCGGACCUCAGCCGGCUUACCCUCCCGCCUCCUCCUCCUCCGAAAGCCCAGGUCAAACUCCCCCAGCCAGCGAGGGAGACGGGGGAGAGAGGAGAGAGAGGCUCUCGGAUCCGAGCUGCUCCCUCCCGUGCCCGCCCAGAUCUCCUCCGCAGCCCAGCACCCGACGCCCCGGAUCUGCGCCCGUCGCAAAGGUAUUCCCUUUUUCAUCCAAUCUCGCUCCCCGGAUCUGCGCCUCCUCCCCGGAGCCGGAGGUGGCUUCCGUUCCUAGCUCCGCGGCUGCAGAGUAGGAGUAGCUAGCUAACUUAGCUGAUCUAGUUUAGAUGAUGAUGAUGAUAAGCAUCGAGAGCGGAGUUUAUGGUAGGCCCACCAGAGCAAAUCUCGCCUCCCGGCUCCGGGGAUCUCGAGCUCCGGUAGAUAUCAUUAUGUCUUUCCAAUUUAAACCCCGCAAAAUGUUUUAAGGAUCUGGGUCUGGCUUUGAUGAAAUCUCCGAGGCUCAUGCCGUGCUACUUUUGGUCA